UAUGGCCACAUCAUGUUGAAACACUGGUUCUCCUGUGAUCACCGAAGUUAAGCAACAUCAAGCCUGAUCAGUGCCUAGAUGGGUGACUACUUGAAAACACCAGGCGUUGUAA